rfam:Schistosoma curassoni strain Dakar, Senegal genome assembly, scaffold: SCTD_scaffold0000074
AUUCAGCUGACGAGUCCCAAACAGGAAGAAAUGCUCGUCCUAGAU